UACGUAGGGUGCAAGCGUUAAUCGGAAUUACUGGGCGUAAAGCGUGCGCAGGCGGUUGUGCAAGACCGAUGUGAAAUCCCCGGGCUUAACCUGGGAAUGGCAUUGGUGACUGCACGGCUAGAGUGUGUCAGAGGGGGGUAGAAUUCCACGUGUAGCAGUGAAAUGCGUAGAGAUGUGGAGGAAUACCGAUGGCGAAGGCAGCCCCCCUGGGAUAACACUGACGC
rnacentral:rRNA from 1 species